rnacentral:rRNA from 1 species
UACGAACUGUGCGAACGUUAUUCGGAAUCACUGGGCUUACAGGGUGCGUAGGCGGCUUGUUAAGUCGGGUGUGAAAGCCCCCGGCUCAACCGGGGAAUUGCGCCCUAAACUGGCGAGCUGGAGUGAGAUAGGGGUGUGUGGAACUUCCGGUGGAGCGGUGAAAUGUGUUGAUAUCGGAAGGAACGCCGGUGGCGAAAGCGACACACUGGAGCUUGUCUGACGCUGAGGCACGAAAGCCAGGGGAGCGAACGGG